GAAAUCGACAACUCAUUGCAUAAUGAAGUUGAGAGUUGCAUUGAUUUCAAAAACAUUAAAAUUGAGAAUUAUAGUGACUUUUAUUUUGUGUCUGAUCAUAAGAUACUUCAAAAACUGAGAGUUCUAAUCUCUGAGGUUCCUAUGAAUGACAAUAAUAAAGAUCUUAAUGAUGAAUUAUUUGUUACAGAAAUUGCCAAAUGGAUUUUAAAACACAGAAUAACUAGAAAUGCAAGUGAUGAACUGUUAUUUUUAAUUUUACACCAGUAUGGUUAUCAUGUUGAUUUACCAAAAAUACACAAGGAUAAUUUUAAAUACUCCUAAGAAUGUUCCAAGUGAGUUAAAAUGUGGGGGUGAAUAUGUUUUAGCAGUCAAUUAGUAUUAUAGAUUUGAGUCAAAUACAAUUUUUCUAGUUGUCAAUGUAGAUGGCCUUCCCUUUUUCAAGUCAUCAAACACACAGGCCUAUAUUAUUUAGGUUUGACAAAGGGACACCAUUUAUUGUCUCAUUAUUUGUUGGUGAUAACAAGCUAAAUAAUCGUGAUAAUUUUUAUAUGAUUUUUUGCAUGAGUAUGAGUUAUAAUUGGCAAUUGGUUUCAGUAUAAUUCAUAUAACUUUAAUUACAACUUGAGAAAAAUUGUUGCAAAUGUGCCAAUAAAACAUCAGGAAGUAUAAGCAUAACCAUUUUCAAAAGAUUAAGUCCCUUGAAGAAUUUUAUGAACUUGAAACCAGAUUAAAAGUCAGCCGGGAGUACUGUAAAUUGAAUUAUGAAGCAUCAUGUUAUGGCCAAGUUAAAUAUGAAAGGCAAAAUUCGUGGUGAUAUAAAGAAGGUAUCAUUCGAAGAUAAAAAGUUGUGUAAAGCAAUAAUUGAAGUCAUCCAGCUAAUACACGAGAGUUCGACGGAAGCAAACAAAAGAUCAAAUAGGCAUUUUAAAGUUCUCUCCAUUGAAC